UACGUAGGUGACAAGCGUUGUCCGGAUUUACUGGGCGUAAAGAGCGCGCAGGCGGUCGUUCAAGUCGAGUGUGAAAGCCCCCGGCUCAACUGGGGAGGGUCAUUCGAUACUGAUCGACUCGAAGGCAGGAGAGGGAAGUGGAAUUCCCGGUGUAGUGGUGAAAUGCGUAGAUAUCGGGAGGAACACCAGUGGCGAAGGCGGGUCUCUGGGCCGGUACUGACGCUGAGGAGCGAAAGCGUGGGGAGCGAACAGG
rnacentral:rRNA from 1 species